GUGCCAGCCGCCGCGGUAAUACAGAGGUCCCAAGCGUUGUUCGGAUUCACUGGGCGUAAAGGGUGCGUAGGUGGCCAGGUAAGUUCGGUGUGAAAGCUCGGAGCUUAACUCCGAAAUGGCAUUGAAUACUAUCUGGCUAGAGGGUCGGAGGGGAGACUGGAAUUCUCGGUGUAGCAGUGAAAUGCGUAGAUAUCGAGAGGAACACCAGUGGCGAAGGCGAGUCUCUGGACGACACCUGACACUGAGGCACGAAAGCCAGGGGAGCAAACAGGAUUAGAUACCCCAGUAGUCC
rnacentral:rRNA from 1 species